rnacentral:rRNA from 1 species
AUGCAAAAGACUCAAGUGACCCUCUUGCUACAGAAGUGGUUAAUCUUGAAGAAGAGACAACCAAGAAACCCACUACCCCGCAUGAAGAGGUUGCACAGUCAACCAAUGCAGGUUCAUCCGGUCCCAAACCAAAAAAAAUCCAAACCAAAUCCUUCUGCGGAAGACAGGUUACACGCCACCAUACUUGCAUCUAGUGAAAGAAUUGCUAUUGUGAUAGAGAAGAGUUCUAGCACCGAGAACAAUGCCAUAGAUGGUCUUUGGGAGCGCAUGAAAGUACUCCCUGGGUUUAGUUUGGAUUACCUUGCUCAUUACUAUGCAUAUUUGGUUGACAAUCCUCGUGUUGCAAUGGCAUUCAAGGUGUUGGAAGAUGAUCAAAAGAAGGUUUGGGUUUCUAGAUAUGUCAAGAGUACCUUUCAUGAAGCGUGA